CGACUACAGUCUCCUCCCACAGUGGCGUCGAUGAAGGGGAGUUUCGGACUGGUGGGAAAGGGGCUGGGCAAAUUGUAGUACAUAGUUUGCUGUUGCGAUAAAAACGAAAAUAAAAGCCGAAGCGAAGCAGAUAAAAUUAAAUAGUGACCGAGGUUGGACAGCAAAAAUUAAGGUGCUGCAAGAAGCGCGAGAUUCGCAAAGGUGGGGCUCUUUGUGGGCGGCACCUGCUACCGUGGGCGUGGUCCACGUGCAAAAACUAAUCGUUCAAUUAAGUUGCCCGCGAGGCGGCGAAGUGGCGUGGCACCCAUAACAUGUCCGAAACAAGCAGUGAACGCAAAAAGUUAAAGAAAAAAGAAGAGCUGCAAAAAUAGAGUUUGUGCAGAUUGUAUUAGGAAAUACAAAAUAAAGUGCACUGUGAAAAACUUUGUGGAUCUUAACUGGUGUUGAAGUGCCACUCCUUUUUUUACGGCGCUGCAACAAAGCAGCAGCAAGUUGGACCAGGAAACCCGGAGCGACUGAAACUGGAGCGAAACCAAAGCGCCGGAGCAUCGAACGGUUUUGAUUCAAUAAACGUCAGUAGGUGGAAACUUCCCGUAUUCGGCCUGCUUCCAAGCGAGACGCCAAGAAAGGGCAGAAUGCGGCAACGACAGCGAGGGAAUGCACUGGAGGAGACUCUGAAGACUCGAUGUCAGCGAAGGUACCAGUUAUCUUCCCGGAACGUAUUUCAUUCGCCUUCGAUGAGGAGAGUGCUAACUAAAUUAUUAAGAGUUAUAUUAAGACAUAUUGUAAUAAUAAUAAUUUUAAAACA